GUGUCGGCUGUAUUGGUAUCCCCGGGCCUGCUUGGCCCACCUCUGGAGUCCACAAUUCUCUAGCAGGCGGGCAUGCACACAAGGGCAACCAGAGACCGUGCUGUGAGAGGAUUUCCCAAAGGAACAGUCACGGUUGGACUGGAGGAGAAAAGGCUCCAGGGAGGGCCUGUGAGCGUCACCUCCAGGGGAAGCCUUGAAGAGCUGCCAGGGCAACGGUGAUGACGUGGAUUGUUCAUGCCCGUGAUGCCCAUAUCUCUUGACCUCCUUUCCCUGCUAGAUGGCUCUUCCUGGGUGUCCCAGAGGCACCCCUGUUUCUGUGGAGGGCCCUGGCCCCCAGUUCAUGGCCUUGGGGUCAUCCUGGACACAGAAAGGCCUUCUCGCUGGCCUUGUCUCCCAGGCUGAUGACACAUUCAAGCUCUUCAUGCCUACAAGUGCCCAGCCCAUCACAAGAGCCUAAUCAAUGCCCAGUGAUUGAUUUUGGAAGUAGCCGAGAGAAGUUACAGCUGGGGAAAUUUCAGCUUGAGGCUCACCUCAAAUCCCACCUUUGACAAGAGACCUGUUCUGCC